CGGCGUGCUUAACACAUGCAAGUCGAACGGAAAGGCCCUGCUUUUGUGGGGUGCUCGAGUGGCGAACGGGUGAGUAACACGUGAGUAACCUGCCCUUGACUUUGGGAUAACUUCAGGAAACUGGGGCUAAUACCGGAUAGGAGCUCCUGCUGCAUGGUGGGGGUUGGAAAGUUUCGGCGGUUGGGGAUGGACUCGCGGCUUAUCAGCUUGUUGGUGGGGUAGUGGCUUACCAAGGCUUUGACGGGUAGCCGGCCUGAGAGGGUGACCGGCCACAUUGGGACUGAGAUACGGCCCAGACUCCUACGGGAGGCAGCAGUGGGGAAUAUUGCACAAUGGGCGGAAGCCUGAUGCAGCAACGCCGCGUGCGGGAUGACGGCCUUCGGGUUGUAAACCGCUUUCGCCUGUGACGAAGCGUGAGUGACGGUAAUGGGUAAAGAAGCACCGGCUAACUACGUGCCAGCAGCCGCGGUGAUACGUAGGGUGCGAGCGUUGUCCGGAUUUACUGGGCGUAAAGGGCUCGUAGGUGGUUGAUCGCGUCGGAAGUGUAAUCUUGGGGCUUAACCCUGAGCGUGCUUUCGAUACGGGUUGACUUGAGGAAGGUAGGGGAGAAUGGAAUUCCUGGUGGAGCGAUGGAAUGCGCAGAUAUCAGGAGGAACACCAGUGGCGAAGGCGGUUCUCUGGGCCUUUCCUGACGCUGAGGAGCGAAAGCGUGGGGAGCGAACAGGCUUAGAUACCCUGGUAGUCCACGCUGUAAACGGUGGGUACUAGGUGUGGGGUCCAUUCCACGGGUUCCGUGCCGUAGCUAACGCUUUAAGUACCCCGCCUGGGGAGUACGGCCGCAAGGCUAAAACUCAAAGGAAUUGACGGGGCCCCGCACAAGCGGCGGAGCAUGCGGAUUAAUUCGAUGCAACGCGUAGUACCUUACCUGGGUUUGACAUGGAUCGGGAGUGCUCAGAGAUGGGUGUGCCUCUUUUGGGGUCGGUUCACAGGUGGUGCAUGGCUGUCGUCAGCUCGUGUCGUGAGAUGUUGGGUUAAGUCCCGCAACGAGCGCAACCCUUGUUCACUGUUGCCAGCACGUUAUGGUGGGGACUCAGUGGAGACCGCCGGGGUCAACUCGGAGGAAGGUGGGGAUGACGUCAAGUCAUCAUGCCCCUUAUGUCCAGGGCUUCACGCAUGCUACAAUGGCUGGUACAGAGAGUGGCGAGCCUGUGAGGGUGAGCGAAUCUCGGAAAGCCGGUCUCAGUUCGGAUUGGGGUCUGCAACUCGACCUCAUGAAGUCGGAGUCGCUAGUAAUCGCAGAUCAGCAACGCUGCGGUGAAUACGUUCCCGGGGCUUGUACACACCGCCCGUCAAGUCAUGAAAGUUGGUAACACCCGAAGCCGGUGGCCUAACCGUUGUGGGGGAGCCGUCGAAGGUGGGACUGGUGAUUAGGACUAAG
rnacentral:rRNA from 1 species